CAUGCAAGUCGAGCGGAUGACGGGAGCUUGCUCCUUGAUUCAGCGGCGGACGGGUGAGUAAUGCCUAGGAAUCUGCCUGGUAGUGGGGGACAACGUUUCGAAAGGAACGCUAAUACCGCAUACGUCCUACGGGAGAAAGCAGGGGACCUUCGGGCCUUGCGCUAUCAGAUGAGCCUAGGUCGGAUUAGCUAGUAGGUGAGGUAAUGGCUCACCUAGGCGACGAUCCGUAACUGGUCUGAGAGGAUGAUCAGUCACACUGGAACUGAGACACGGUCCAGACUCCUACGGGAGGCAGCAGUGGGGAAUAUUGGACAAUGGGCGAAAGCCUGAUCCAGCCAUGCCGCGUGUGUGAAGAAGGUCUUCGGAUUGUAAAGCACUUUAAGUUGGGAGGAAGGGCAGUAAGCUAAUACCUUGCUGUUUUGACGUUACCGACAGAAUAAGCACCGGCUAACUCUGUGCCAGCAGCCGCGGUUAAUA
rnacentral:rRNA from 1 species